UAUAAACCGAUAUAUACAUAUAUACCUUCAUUCGUCAUCAUAUAUACCUUCAUUCGUCAUUUCUAAAUAUGGCCUCGAUCAUAAAAGGGGGAGGACUUGUCUUGGUUCUUAUCAUCCUUAUCUUCAUUAGCUCAUCUUCUCACACCAUAGCAACCGCCAGAAGCCCAUACAACCGUGCUCGUCAACUAGCUACAGAUUGCGAUUCGCCGAGGCAAGGAGAUAUAGUCGGGUGUGGUGGUGGAAGUAGUGGAUCAGCAAAACCAAAACGAAAACCAUGUGGUUCAGCACCAGGUUCGAGCCGUUGUAAGAAGGGUUGCUGUGGAAAGACAAAAUUUGGAGAUACCAUCUGCUGCUAGUAGCAUUGGAGGGUGUGCCUCAUUAAUUAAAUGCUCUAUCGGAAUCCCAUGUUUAGAUUGUCAAAUAAAAUAAAUUGAUAUAAUUUCCAAUUCUUUUUUACUAUUUGUGCAAGUUCCAUAUCUGUGAUCGCAAAAGCUUUUAUACGUCAGGCAUGUUGAUUAUCAAUAUUCUCAUUGAAUUAAAACUGAGUCAUGUAAUAUGCAUAAAUACAAAUCACCCAUGUCCCAUGAGAGUGUGAGACAUACACCGUGGGCCUAGAACAAUGAAACAAAUAUAAUUUCACUACAAGAAAUACCACCUAUGCCGACGACAUUUAUAUGUGUCGUCGGUAAAACUCAACAUAUUCCGACGACAUGUCGUCGGUCCGAGCGGACCAAAAUUCUUUGACCUUGAACACCAUGCCGAAUCUGAAAAGGGUAGGCGGGAAUGAAAUAUAUUUUUCGCGGUUUUCUGAAAUGUAUGCCGAUGACAAGUCGUCGAUAUAGGUAACGGAAAUUUUAAUUUCCUAUUUUCUUAUAAGUCGUGUUCCAGUAACUAAAAACGAUAUCGUUGUUCUGUAACUUUUCCCGACGACAGGUUGUCGGUAAAACAAAUAGCGAUCCAUGUGAACUCUAUGCCGAUGACAUGCAUGUCGUCGGUAUAAGGUUCAUAUUUUUUAUUAUUUUUUUACUUGCGAGAAAACGAUACGACGUCGUAAUAUUUAGUCCGUAUGCCGACGACUUGUGGUCUGUAUAGGGUUUUAACCCCAAUAUGGCUGGUUUGUCUCCCUCAUUUGCAGCCAUCAUAAUCUUACACUUCUCUCUCGAAAUCCCAUCUGCAGACCAGACGCCUCCUUGACCUUCGAGAGCCGGUAUAGGGUCUCACUAGAGGACCACCACCGACCUCACUCUCUUUCCAACCUCUCUCAGACCAUCGACAUCAGAUCACCAUCAUCUAUUGUAAGAGGAAAAAGAACCCCAAGGCAGAAUUUGAACCAAGGGCAAAAGGGGCAUCACAAAGAAGUGAAUAUUUGGAAAUUUGCAGAAGCAAAGAUCAUGAUGCAUCUAUGCCUAAGGCCAUAUCCUCUAAAAUCAACAAUUUGGGUGCAGUUGAAGGUAUAACAUGAAUCCUCCAUGUUUUUUGAGUGUAUAUGGAAUCGAGGGUAUUUUGGUCUUUUUGUAAUAUAUGUCGAUUUACUUGUUCAUAAAAGUUAGAAAAGUCAAGAUCUAAGGAGAACCAAACAACAGGAGAUAUAGAGAGCAGCUUAAAUGAUUCCAUGUCUAAAAAACAGGUUUGGUAAAUAUAAAAAAUAUGUGGAAGAAAAACACAUAUAUCAA